UACGUAGGGUGCAAGCGUUAAUCGGAAUUACUGGGCGUAAAGCGUGCGCAGGCGGCUUUGCAAGACAGAUGUGAAAUCCCCGGGCUUAACCUGGGGACUGCAUUUGUGACUGCAUGGCUGGAGUGCGGCAGAGGGGGAUGGAAUUCCGCGUGUAGCAGUGAAAUGCGUAGAUAUGCGGAGGAACACCGAUGGCGAAGGCAGUCCCCUGGGCCUGCACUGACGCUCAUGCACGAAAGCGUGGGGAGCAAACAGG
rnacentral:rRNA from 1 species